UAACACAUGCAAGUCGAGCGGCAGCGGGAAAGUAGCUUGCUACUUUUGCCGGAGAGCGGCGGACGGGUGAGUAAUGCCUGGGAAAUUGCCCAGUCGAGGGGGAUAACAGUUGGAAACGACUGCUAAUACCGCAUACGCCCUACGGGGGAAAGCAGGGGACCUUCGGGCCUUGCGCGAUUGGAUAUGCCCAGGUGGGAUUAGCUAGUUGGUGAGGUAAUGGCUCACCAAGGCGACGAUCCCUAGCUGGUCUGAGAGGAUGAUCAGCCACACUGGAACUGAGACACGGUCCAGACUCCUACGGGAGGCAGCAGUGGGGAAUAUUGCACAAUGGGGGAAACCCUGAUGCAGCCAUGCCGCGUGUGUGAAGAAGGCCUUCGGGUUGUAAAGCACUUUCAGCGAGGAGGAAAGGUUGGUGGCUAAUAUCUGCUGACUGUGACGUUACUCGCAGAAGAAGCACCGGCUAACUCCGUGCCAGCAGCCGNCGGGUAAUA
rnacentral:rRNA from 1 species